AGACCCGAAACCCGGUGAUCUAGCCAUGGGCAGGUUGAAGGUUGGGUAACACUAACUGGAGGACCGAACCGACUAAUGUUGAAAAAUUAGCGGAUGACCUGUGGCUGGGGGUGAAAGGCCAAUCAAACCGGGAGAUAGCUGGUUCUCCCCGAAAGCUAUUUAGGUAGCGCCUCGUGAAUUCAUCUCCGGGGGUAGAGCACUGUUUCGGCUAGGGGGCCAUCCCGGCUUACCAACCCGAUGCAAACUGCGAAUACCGGAGAAUGUUAUCACGGGAGACACACGGCGGGUGCUAACGUCCGUCGUGAAGAGGGAAACAACCCAGACCGCCAGCUAAGGUCCCAAAGUCAUGGUUAAGUGGGAAACGAUGUGGGAAGGCCCAGACAGCCAGGAUGUUGGCUUAGAAGCAGCCAUCAUUUAAAGAAAGCGUAAUAGCUCACUGGUCGAGUCGGCCUGCGCGGAAGAUGUAACGGGGCUAAACCAUGCACCGAAGCUGCGGCAGCGACACUCAGGUGUUGUUGGGUAGGGGAGCGUUCUGUAAGUCUGCGAAGGUGGCCUGUGAGGGUUGCUGGAGGUAUCA
rnacentral:rRNA from 1 species